rnacentral:misc_RNA from 1 species
GAAAUGCGAUAAGUAGUGUGAAUUGCAGAAUUCAGUGAAUCAUCGAAUCUUUGAACGCACAUUGCGCCCCUCGGUAUUCCGUGGGGCAUGCCUGUUCGAGCGUCAUCUACACCCUCAAGCUCUGCUUGGUGUUGGGUGUUUGUCCCCGUCUCCGCGCGUGGACUCGCCCCAAAGUGAUUGGCAGCCGGCGUACUGGUCCCGGAGCGCAGCACAUGUCGCGCAAACGAGUGCCUUGGUACGGCGGCGUCCAUAAGCCCCUCUCUCACGCUCUUGACCUCGGAUCAGGUAGGGAUACCCGCUGAACUUAAGC